rnacentral:rRNA from 1 species
CGGAAUUAUUGGGCGUAAAGCGCGCGCAGGCGGCCGGUUAAGUCAGGUGUGAAAGGCUGCGGCUCAACCGCAGAGCUGCAUCUGAAACUGGUCGGCUUGAGUGCAGGAGAGGGGAGCGGAAUUCCCGGUGUAGCGGUGGAAUGCGUAGAGAUCGGGAGGAACACCAGUGGCGAAGGCGGCUCUCUGGCCUGUAACUGACGCUGAGGCGCGAAAGCGUGGGGAGCGAACAGGAUUAGAUACCCUGGUAGUCCACGCCGUAAACGAUGAGUGCUAGGUGUUGGGGGGCUACGCCCCUCAGUGCCGAAGGCAACCCAUUAAGCACUCCGCCUGGGGAGUACGGCCGCAAGGCUGAAACUCAAAGGAAUUGACGGGGGCCCGCACAAGCGGUGGAGCAUGUGGUUUAAUUCGAAGCAACGCGAAGAACCUUACCAGGGCUUGACAUCCCGCUGACCCCUUCAGAGACGAAGGUUUCCUUCGGGACAGCGGUGACAGGUGGUGCAUGGUUGUCGUCAGCUCGUGUCGUGAGAUGUUGGGUUCAGUCCCGCAACGAGCGCAACCCUUGUCGUUAGUUGCCAGCAUUUCGGAUGGGCACUCUAACGAGACAGCCGGUGAAAGCCGGAGGAAGGUGGGGAUGACGUCAAAUCAUCAUGCCCCUUAUGUCCUGGGCUACACACGUGCUACAAUGGCUGGUACAAAGGGCUGCGAACCCGCGAGGGGGAGCCAAUCCCAAAAAGCCAGUCUCAGUUCGGAUCGCAGGCUGCAAC